AACGUAGGAGACAAACGUUAUCCGGAGUUACUGGGCGUAAAGGGCGUGUAGGUGGUAUCGUAAGUCUGGCGUGAAAUUUCUCGGCUUAACCGAGGCAGGUCGUCGGAUACUGCGAGGCUAGAGGACGGUAGAGGCGUGUGGAAUUCCGGGUGUAGUGGUGAAAUUCGUAGAUAUCGGGAGGAACACCAGUGGCGAAGGCGGCUCACUGGUCUGGUACUGACGCUGAGGUGCGAAAGCGUGGGGAGCAAACAGG
rnacentral:rRNA from 1 species